CAGGAAAAGGAGAUGGUAUGAAGCUUUGGGGUGUUUGAGAGAGUCAAUUCAAUUUUUAUUAACUCAAGCUAUCAAUCUUCAAUGAUCUAUAUCCAAGAUUGACCCGAAGUUAUUUUGAAUUGUUAUAUCUAAAACUCAUAUCAUCUCGGGGAAGGUAUUGAUGUUGUAGGAAAUAAAGAAUUAAUCCUAUGCCGAAAAAUCAAGGCUUACAACAUGGAGGAAAGCCAAAGGAUGGUAACAAUUAUGCUUUUAAGUGUAAGUAUCUUAAAUUAUUAUUUCUUAUGUGUCUUGUGUAGUCACAUAGAAAAAGAAAGCACUUCAAAUGUUUUUAAAUUAUGUCACCAUUCUUUGAAGAAAUUCCUCUCAUAUGGUAGAUUGUAUAUUCAUCAUUUCUAUACCAUGGCAAUCUACAUGCUUUAAAUUGUUGUAAGUAUCUCAUGGCAUGCUUUACACUAAUCAUCCUAUUAUUGCCAUGUUCUAGAUAUAGAGAGAUAUUGCAUAUUCUUAAAAGAAUAAGGUGUCACGUAAGGAAUUCAAUUCCUUAGGACACUUAUAAAGGGAAUCUCUCUUUAUAUCUGGAGAUCGUGGGACUAAUGCUUUUGUCUCAAUAACCUAAAUAGUCUCACAUAUAGAGAAUAAGUUUCUCUUUGGAGAUGCGCAAUCUAACAUGAAAAGAAAAGUCAAUCCAAUGAUUUAUGUUGUUUUGCCUCUUGCUUAAGUUAGAUAUGAUUCUUCUAUAUUUAUCGCUCUCCAUGUUGUGAAUUAGAUUUAUUCCCAUAAUCUUAAAGAAUUAUCUAUGCUUGUUUUGUAAGCAAAAUUAAGCAUACAUCAUGGAAUAACCUAUUUCAUAUUAUAAAGUUUCCAUGCUUUAGUAGUCUAUCUUUCCAUUCCUUAUUAAAAUGAUUACACAAAGGGAAACUAGUGCUUGUGUUACUAAUGACAUAUCUCUUGAGCUUACUUAUGAAAAUCUACAAGAGAGUAAGUGCAAGCCGCAAGCCUCAAGGGUUACUCUUCAACCAAAGGAAGAAAGGUAAAAGCAAAGGUAUGAGAACUCAUCUUCUUAAUCAAAUAUAGUUCCCAUCAAUGGUUAUUUACUCUAAAUUCUACCUAUGUGAAGAAUGGAUUCUUUAUUGGACUUAAGUCAGCCAGAUGUGCAUUCAAUCUCAUUCUCAUAAAAUGCACUUGUCCAUUAUAAUCUAAUUCAUGCCUUUGCUAUAUCUGUUCUCAUAUUGAUAUGUUUUUAAGUCAUGAUAAUAAAUUCAAUAUGAAGAAGUAAAAUUACUAUGAUUGAUCGAGAUAUUUAAAAGGUGCUUAUUCCUCUUUUCUAAUAAUGUGCACUAAUGUUAAGGAUUUUACUUCAUGUCUGUGUGACUUAUGAAUGAUAAAUUGUUUAUAUUCCUCAUCUAAAAGAAAUCAUUCUUCAUCAUAAACUCCCUUGUGCUAUUAACAUCUCUCUUGAGUAUUUUCAAUAAGUUUGGAAGGAUAAAGAGUCAACUAUAAAGGGAGGACACUCAAAUGAAAAGGAAGACAUCAAGAGCAACAACACCUACUUGGAUAAUGAGAUCUUCAAAACAAUCAAUGGUGUGGUUGUAAGCAUUGUAAAUCUUUUUCAUUGUGAGAAUACUAGGCAUAAAUUGUUAUUGCAAAUUUUGUAAGCCUUGAUCAAGAUGAAUAAUGCUUCUCCCUAUUUGUCUU
rnacentral:lncRNA from 7 species